rnacentral:lncRNA from 10 species
GGAAAACGCCGCGCAACUCAGACCACUGGAGCGGAGUAGUAUCUGGAGUUUCUGUAACAUCCUUUCCCUUUUUUUUUUUUUUUAAAGCCAGAGCCUCUGUCGCCCAGGCUGCAGUACAGUGGCGUAAUCUCAGCUCACUGCAACCUCUGCCUCCCGGGAUCAAGCGAUUCUCCUUCCUCAGCCUCCCGAGUAGCUGGGAUUACAGGUGCCCGUCGGCUAAUUUUUGGUUUUUUGUUUUGUUUUGUUUUGUUUUUUUUGUUUUUGUUUUUGUUUUGAAACGGAGUCUCUGUCGCCCAGGCUGGAGUGCAACGGCGUGAUCUCGGCUCACUGCAACCUCCGCCUCCCGGGUUCAAGCGAUUCUUCUGUCUCGGCCUCCCAAGUAGCUGGGAUUACAGGCGUCCACCACCAGGCGCAGCUAAUUUUUUGUAUUUUUAGUAGACACGAGGUUUUGCCAUGUUGGCCAGGCUGGUUUCGAACUCCUGGCCUCAAGUGAUCCGCCUGCCUCGGCCUCCCAAAGUGCUGGGAUUACAGGCGACACCCUUUGCUUUUUUUUUUUUUUUUUUUUUGAGGCGGAGUAUCACUCUGUUGCCCAGGCUGGAGUGCAAUGGCGUGAUCUCGGCUCACUGCAACCUCUGCCUCCCAGGUUCAAGAGAUUCUUCUGCCUCAGCCUCCCAAGUAGCUGGCACUGCAGACACGCACCACCACACCCAGGCUACACAGAACAACAUCAUUAGCAACAUUGUUUCAGCAAGGAAAUAAUCCUUAUUGGCAAAGGGAAACCAAGGAAAGAAAACUAUUGUUUUCUUCGGCUACAUGCUGUCUGCAAAGCACCCCAUGGAUUCAAUUUCUCAUCAAUUCAGAAUGGAAUACUAACGUGCUGCCUAGAGAUACAGAAGUGGGAUGAACGCAGGGCCUUACUCAGCAUUCAGAACAAAACUGAUGGUGCUAGCAUAUAUAAGACUGAAACACCAAAGUCCUCCGUGGAAGUUAAUGAAUUUCUAAUAGUGAAAUAAGGUGGCCAAGGAGGCAGAGAUGGAGUCAGGGACUCUGUGAUCAACCCUGAGGAUUGGGAAGGAACUAUACAUACCAGGAGGCAAGGAGCACUGGGGGCCCUCCUGGAACUGCCUGUCACAGCGUCCUCAAAGGUUUUCACUCUCCUAGGAUGACCCAGGUAUAGAAUCUGCCCCUAUGGUUCGGCUCCACCCUCUCACCUGUCUCUUGAGAGCAUUGUGAAAUUCUGAGACACAGCAAGGACAGAAACAGAGGGCAUGGAAGAUGCUUUCAGCAGUAUGAUGGUACUUCCAGUACCCCAGUGACACCUAGCCUGAGAAAGAAGCAGAGAUAAAGUCUAUAGAGGAAGAGAGCAUCUGAAUGACGUUUGAGUCCCUGGAUCCACUGUGUGAAGCCAGAGCCACUCCUGCAAGUGUUUUGUUUAGGUUUAAAUUUGAUUGAGAUUUUUAUUACUUCAAAGUAAAAAAUUCUUACUAAUGCAAUGCCUUCAGCCUUCCACCUCAAAGUCACUGAAAGGAUCUUAAUAUUUU